rnacentral:rRNA from 1 species
AGUGAACGCUGGCGGUAGGCCUAACACAUGCAAGUCGAACGGCAGCACAGUAAUAGCUUGCUCUUACGGGUGGCGAGUGGCGGACGGGUGAGGAAUACAUCGGAAUCUACUUUUUCGUGGGUGAUAACGUAGGGAAACUUACGCUAAUACCGCAUACGACCUACGGGUGAAAGCAGGGGAUCUUCGGACCUUGCGCGAUUGAAUGAGCCGAUGUCGGAUUAGCUAGUUGGCGGGGUAAAGGCCCACCAAGGCGACGAUCCGUAGCUGGUCUGAGAGGAUGAUCCGCCACACUGGAACUGAGACACGGUCCAGACUCCUACGGGAGGCAGAAGUGGGGAAUAUUGGACAAUGGGCGCAAGCCUGAUCCAGCCAUACCGCGUGGGUGAAGAAGGCCUUCGGGUUGUAAAGCCCUUUUGUUGGGAAAGAAAAGCAGCAGGUUAAUACCCCGCUGUUCUGACGGUACCCAAAGAAUAAGCACCGGCUAACUUCGUG